rnacentral:sRNA from 1 species
AUUAUUAAUUUAUCGAUAAAUUAAUACCUCUCUAAAUUAAUAAAAUUUUGCAGUCCCAACAUUAUUAAUUUAUAGAGGUUUU